GGAGUUAGCCGGUGCUUCUUCUGUGAGUGAUGUCCUUCAUGCCGGUUAUUGACCCGCAGGCCUUCUUCCUCACUGAAAGUGCUUUACAACCCGAAGGCCUUCUUCACACACGCGGCAUGGCUGGAUCAGGGUUGCCCCCAUUGUCCAAUAUUCCCCACUGCUGCCUCCCGUAGGAGUCUGGGCCGUGUCUCAGUCCCAGUGUGGCUGAUCAUCCUCUCAGACCAGCUACGGAUCGUCGCCUUGGUGAGCCGUUACCUCACCAACCAGCUAAUCCGACAUAGGCUCAUCCGAUAGCGCGAGGCCCGAAGGUCCCCCGCUUUCCCCCGUAGGGCGUAUGCGGUAUUAGCCUGGGUUUCCCCAGGUUAUCCCCCACUACCGGGCAGAUUCCUAUGCAUUACUCACCCGUCCGCCGCUCGCCACCAGGGAGCAAGCUCCCCGUGCUGCCGCUCGACUUGCAUGUGUUAGGCCUGCCGCCAGCGUUCAAUCUGAGCCAGGAUCAAACUCUGA
rnacentral:rRNA from 1 species